GCCCCGAUAGCUUAUACUCUAGAGCAUGGCACUGAAGAUGCCAAGGAAGAUAGCUUCAAUCUUCGGGACA
rnacentral:tRNA from 1 species